GCCUUCGGGUCGUAAAACUCUGUCCUCAAGGAAGAUAAUGACGGUACUUGAGGAGGAAGCCCCGGCUAACUACGUGCCAGCAGCCGCGGUAAUACGUAGGGGGCUAGCGUUAUCCGGAUUUACUGGGCGUAAAGGGUGCGUAGGCGGUCUUUCAAGUCAGGAGUGAAAGGCUACGGCUCAACCGUAGUAAGCUCUUGAAACUGGGAGACUUGAGUGCAGGAGAGGAGAGUGGAAUUCCUAGUGUAGCGGUGAAAUGCGUAGAUAUUAGGAGGAACACCAGUUGCGAAGGCGGCUCUCUGGACUGUAACUGACGCUGAGGCACGAAAGCGUGGGGAGCAAACAGGAUUAGAUACCCUGGUAGUCCACGCUGUAAACGAUGAGUACUAGGUGUCGGGGGUUAC
rnacentral:rRNA from 1 species